CCGUAUCCCCGUCGCUGCAAGCUCCGGCCGGAGGGUAGCGGUGCGCUGUGGCCGGAGGCGGCGGGGAGCGGCGUCCCCUGGGCCGAGGCGGGAGCUUUCCGCCGGUGAGGGCCGUGGCAGCAGGUGUUGCGGCACGGCCGGAGCGGCGGGAGGCGGGUGUCCGUGCGAGGCCUGGCGCUGUGCGGGAGGGAGCGGGGCCACGUGCGUGUGUGAAUGGCCCAGCCGGGUUUGGCCGUGUACGAGCUCGGUGGUGUGUGGAGGGUAACACGAGUAAACGAUUAGAGAGCUGUCUUAAAGCCGGUUGUUUUGGUACGGGUAUAAAAGCGGGACCCUCAUGUGGCCAUGAGAGAAGCCUCACCUGUGGGUGGGUGCACCGCAUCAGAAUCUUUCCAAUUACCUGAGACUCCUGGCAUCGGCUGCAACACGGCUUCCCAGCUGGAAGUGUGGGCCUGGGUGAUGAUUCAGUGGUGACUGGUGUGAAACGAAACACAAGAUAUCAUUUGUGGGAGCAGUACAGCCUUGGGAACAGCAAUACCUUGUCUUUGUACAUCAUGGGACAAGGACAGCACCUGGCAAUGUCAGAAACCAGAGCUGAUGGAGGCAAGUUACUUAUGAACAUGUUCCUGAGGCAUGCUGGAGGAAUUGGAAUGGGAGUGAUGUUUCCACUUCAGGCCUUAGAUGCAAUGGGUUUGAUGCCAAAAGAGUCUCCUUCAAAGCCGACUCAGACACCUUUCAACCCCAAAGUUUCACACCCAAGAAAUGGGCCGAGGACAUAUUGAAAGCCAAAGUAAUGGGUCAGGCUGAGACACAAGGGGAUCAAAUGGGAGGAGCAGAGGACCCAUCAAUCCCACAAGAGGCCAAAAUGACAUCACUAUUAAAACCAUCCUCACCUCCUCCAAAGACUCAAAAACCAGUAAUCCUACAGCCAAAUCUCUGCAAUCAAGAAACAACAAAAACACCACAUGGACGUCUCUUGCAGCCAAAGCAAAACCCUUGUUUGGGAAAAUAAGCAAGAUGUCAACUGUCUUGAGUUGGACACUGAUUGCCCCUGGCACGUUACUGGUAAGCUUCUUGUUGAUAAAAAUUCUCAAAAUACUGAAGAAUCUUAACUCAUGGUUAAUUCUCUCAGUUUUCCCGUGGAAAGAAUGCCCUGUCCUUUCCAAAGUAUUGGGCACCAGACCUUGUGCAUUAUGUCAGAUUGUGCCCAUGGACAUGUCGAGUAUUUCUCUGGAUGUGUCUCAGGCUUUUUAUCAUCUUCCUCUGCAUCCUCUUAGCGCUACUGGGCUCUGCAUUUCUAAUGGGCAACUGGUCUAUUUCAGAAAAGCUGCAAUGGGGGUCAGUCUUAGCCCUUUUCUGCUUCAUCUCUUCAGCACUGCCCUCACAACCAAAAGUGCUGGGCGCUUCAGUAUUUGGGGUUUUGCUUAUAUGGACAGCUUCCUCCUCUGCCACCCAAGCUCUCACUACCUUACUUCAGUUAGCAGCACUGUCUGUGCUUUCCUUUAACCAGUAGGAGUUUGAAUAAACUACGAUAAACAUACUCCUUCUCCUGUAAAUGAAAUAAAAUUUCUGGGAUACCUAAUCAAGGAAAA